rnacentral:rRNA from 1 species
UGAGGGGCAGCCUGAUCAGCCAUNCCGCGUGGGUGAAGAAGGCCUUCGGGUUGUAAAGCCCUUUUGUUGGGAAAGAAAUCCAGCUGGCUAAUACCCGGUUGGGAUGACGGUACCCAAAGAAUAAGCACCGGCUAACUUCGUGCCAGCAGCCGCGGUAAUACGAAGGGUGCAAGCGUUACUCGGAAUUACUGGGCGUAAAGCGUGCGUAGGUGGUCNUUUAAGUCCGAUGUGAAAGCCCUGGGCUCAACCUGGGAACUGCAUUGGAUACUGGGCGACUAGAGUGUGGUAGAGGGUAGCGGAAUUCCUGGUGUAGCAGUGAAAUGCGUAGAGAUCAGGAGGAACAUCCAUGGCGAAGGCAGCUNCCUGGACCAACACUGACACUGANGCACGAAAGCGUGGGGAGCAAACAGGAUUAGAUACCCUGGUAGUCCACGCCCUAAACGAUGCNAACUGGAUGUUGGGUGCAAUUUGGCACGCANUAUCNAANCUAACGCGUUAANUUCNCCNCCUGGGGAGUACGGUCGCAANACUGAAACUCAAAGGAAUUUUG